GGAUUAGGCAUGCAAGUCGUACGAACCUUCGGGUUAGUGGCGAACGGGUGAGUAACACGUGGGUAACCUGCCUCGUAGUGGGGAAUAACUCGCCGAAAGGCGAGCUAAUACCGCAUAACACCCCCGGUGAGAAUCCGGGUGGUAAAAGCUCCGGCGCUACGAGAGGGGCCCGCGGCCGAUUAGCUAGUUGGUGGGGUAAUAGCCUACCAAGGCGACGAUCGGUAGCUGGUCUGAGAGGAUGGUCAGCCACACGGGGACUGAGAUACGGCCCCGACUCCUACGGGAGGCAGCAGCUAAGAAUCUUGCGCAAUGGGCGAAAGCCUGACGCAGCAAUUCCGCGUGGGGGACGAAGGCCCUCGGGUCGUAAACCCCUUUUGUGAGGGAAGAAGUUCUGACGGUACCUCACGAAUAAGACACGGCUAACUACGUGCCAGCAGCCGCGGUAAUA
rnacentral:rRNA from 1 species